CUGAAAGAGCGCUGGGAGAGGUAGGAGGAGCACCAGAAGAGAGCAGUAUCCUGUAGACCAAAGUUACGGAGAAUGUGAAGAAGCUGUUGAUGAUCAACAGUGUCAAAGGCGGCAGAAAGAUCAAGGAGGAUUAGGAUAGAGUAUUGGCCGCGAGAUUUAGCAGCAAUUAAAUCGUUGGAUACUUUGGUCACAGUUUCGACAGAGUGACCAUCGCGGAAUCCAGACUGAAGGGGGUCAAGCAGAGAGUUGGA